AACGAACGCUGGCGGCGUGCCUAACACAUGCAAGUCGAGCGGGAAAGUUCCCUUCGGGGAGCGAGUACAGCGGCGAACGGGUGAGUAACACGUAGGUAACCUACCCUGGAGACUGGGAUAACCUGCCGAAAGGCGGGCUAAUACUAGAUAAGACCACGAGAGCCACGGCUCUUGAGGUAAAAGGUGGCCUCUACUUGUAAGCUACCACUCUGGGAUGGGCCUGCGCGCCAUUAGCUAGUUGGUGAGGUAACGGCUCACCAAGGCCGAGAUGGCUAGCUGGUCUGAGAGGAUGGCCAGCCACACUGGGACUGAGACACGGCCCAGACUCCUACGGGAGGCAGCAGUGGGGAAUCUUGCGCAAUGGGCGAAAGCCUGACGCAGCGACGCCGCGUGGGUGAUGAAGGCCUUCGGGUCGUAAGGCCCUGUCAAGAGGGACGAAACCUCGCCGACCUAACACGUCGGCGACCUGACGGUACCUCUGAAGGAAGCACCGGCUAACUCCGUGCCAGCCGCCGCUGUAACAC
rnacentral:rRNA from 1 species